rnacentral:rRNA from 1 species
CGGGAGGCAGCAGUGGGGAAUAUUGCACAAUGGGGGAAACCCUGAUGCAGCGACGCCGCGUGAGCGAAGAAGUAUUUCGGUAUGUAAAGCUCUAUCAGCAGGGAAGAUAAUGACGGUACCUGACUAAGAAGCCCCGGCUAACUACGUGCCAGCAGCCGCGGUAAUACGUAGGGGGCAAGCGUUAUCCGGAUUUACUGGGUGUAAAGGGACCGUAGACGGCAAGGCAAGUCUGAUGUGAAAACCCAGGGCUUAACCCUGGGACUGCAUUGGAAACUGUCUGGCUCGAGUGCCGGAGAGGUAAGCGGAAUUCCUAGUGUAGCGGUGAAAUGCGUAGAUAUUAGGAAGAACACCAGUGGCGAAGGCGGCUUACUGGACGGUAACUGACGUUGAGGCUCGAAAGCGUGGGGAGCAAACAGGAUUAGAUACCCUGGUAGUCCACGCCGUAAAC